rnacentral:misc_RNA from 1 species
AAGUCGUAACAAGGUUUCCGUAGGUGAACCUGCGGAAGGAUCAUUAGUCAAACCCGGAAUCAGGAGUAUCAAAACAUUAGGCGCUUUGCGCUCCUGAAUCCAAAUCAACCUCUUGUGCACUGUAAACAAAAAUUUUCACUUCAAACUUUGUCUGAAUCAUCUGACGCCGGGGCUUUCAUUAGCGUACGGCAGAUUUGAACUUGAAACAACUUUUAACAAUGGAUCUCUUGGCUCUC